GACGAACGCUGGCGGCGUGCUUAACACAUGCAAGUCGAACGGAAAGGCCCUGCUUGCAGGGUACUCGAGUGGCGAACGGGUGAGUAACACGUGGGUGAUCUGCCCUGCACUUCGGGAUAAGCCUGGGAAACUGGGUCUAAUACCGGAUAGGAGCCAUUUUUAGUGUGAUGGUUGGAAAGUUUUUUCGGUGUAGGAUGAGCUCGCGGCCUAUCAGCUUGUUGGUGGGGUAAUGGCCUACCAAGGCGGCGACGGGUAGCCGGCCUGAGAGGGUGGACGGCCACAUUGGGACUGAGAUACGGCCCAGACUCCUACGGGAGGCAGCAGUGGGGAAGAUUGAACAAUGGGCGCAAGCCUGAUGCAGCGACGCCGCGUGGGGGAGGACGGCCUUCGGGUUGUAAACGCCUUUCGCUAGGGACGAAGCUUUUUGUGACGGUACCUAGAUAAGAAGCACCGGCUAACUACGUG
rnacentral:rRNA from 1 species